GAUGAACGCUGGCGGCGUGCCUAAUACAUGCAAGUCGAGCGAACAGACGAGGAGCUUGCUCCUCUGACGUUAGCGGCGGACGGGUGAGUAACACGUGGAUAACCUACCUAUAAGACUGGUAUAACUUCGGGAAACCGGAGCUAAUACCGGAUAAUAUAUUGAACCGCAUGGUUCAAUAGUGAAAGACGGUUGUGGUGUCACGUAUAGAUGGAUCCGCGCCGCAUUAGCUAGUUGGUACGGUAACGGCUUAUCAAGGCGACGAUGCGUAGCCGACGUGAGAGGGGGAUCGGCCGCCCUGGAGCUGAGACACGGUCCAGACUCCUGCGAGAGGCAGCAGUAGGGAAUCUUCCGCAGUAGGCGAAAGCAUGACGGAGCGACGCCGCGUGAGUGAUGAAGGUCUUCGGAUCGUAAAACUCUGUUAUUAGGGGAGAACAAAUGUGUAAGUAACUAUGCACGGCUUGACGGUACCUAAUCAGAAAGCCACGGCUAACUACGUG
rnacentral:rRNA from 1 species